rnacentral:lncRNA from 1 species
CCCAGGGGCUGGCAUGACACUAUGCAGAGUUUCACUGAACUCGUUGAGGGAGCAAGAGAGCACCUUCCUGUUGUUGGCUGGCGGGUGAUUACACCAUUCACACUUUUCUUUUUUAGAGUACCUUUCCAACCUGCUGACCUGACUAACUCAACUCUUGGCCUGGUGCAAAGCAAGGAAUCAGAUCCAGAGGGGAGACUUGGUUAA